UACGGAGGGAGCAAGCGUUACUCGGAAUUAUUGGGCGUAAAGGGCGCGUAGGCGAUUCGAUAAGUCUCAUGUGAAAUCCCAGGGCCUAACCCUGGAAUGGCAUGGGAUACUGUUGGAUUUGAGUUCCGGAGAGGAAGGCAGAAUUCCCGGUGUAGCGGUGAAAUGCGUAGAUAUCGGGAGGAAUACCAGUGGCGAAGGCGGCCUUCUGGACGGAUACUGACGCUGAGGCGCGAAAGCCAGGGGAGCAAACAGG
rnacentral:rRNA from 1 species